UGGCGAAUAUUGCACAAUGGGGGAAACCCUGAUGCAGCGACGCCGCGUGAACGAAGAAGGUAUUCGUAUCGUAAAGUUCUGUCCUAUGGGAAGAUAAUGACAGUACCAUAGAAGAAAGCUCCGGCUAAAUACGUGCCAGCAGCCGCGGUAAUACGUAUGGAGCGAGCGUUGUCCGGAAUUAUUGGGCGUAAAGGGUACGCAGGCGGUUUAAUAAGUCGAAUGUUAAAGAACGGGGCUCAACCCCGCAAAGCAUUGGAAACUGAUAAACUUGAGUAGUGGAGAGGAAAGUGGAAUUCCUAGUGUAGUGGUGAAAUACGUAGAUAUUAGGAGGAAUACCAGUAGCGAAGGCGACUUUCUGGACACAAACUGACGCUGAGGUACGAAAGCGUGGGGAGCAAACAGG
rnacentral:rRNA from 1 species